rnacentral:lncRNA from 1 species
AGGAAAUAAGUAAUACCUCAAGGGUAAUCUGAUUACCCUGUAGAUGAUCUCUGCACAGCCCGAGGUUCUGAUGUAGCCAUGUAAAUGCUUGGCCUCUAUCAGUAUCCACUUGAGUUGGAUCUGAAACAUCUUCUCCUCAUGAAUCUAUGCUCCAAAAAUUAGAUCUCUAUCUGAUUUGGAAGUACUUCAGAACUCCUUCUGAAGUUGGAGUAGCAGUCUGUCGAAGAUGUCCUGCAGCCUUCUGUUCCAGGCAUCACCACGCCUUGGAUCUUUGCCAGAAGGAUGUCCAACUCUUUGGACAUGAAGAGGGG